AUGAUUGGAUCUUUUAAACCCAAUGUUUUUCUUUCGAGUUCAAUCAGGGCUAAAAUCGUUCUUAGGGUUCAACACACAUCCAAUGUUGCUAAUUUGGCUUUACAUGUCCAAACAUUGCUCCAACAAUGCCGUCAGAACUAAGAAAAAAGUGCCAUGCAACUCAAGUUGUCCACAAAUGUGGAGGCUGUAAACGAAAGAUUUAUGAAAGCAGAUCUCAAAAUAUUUACCUCAUUCAUGGCCACAUUAACACAAAAGGAAAAACGUUUAACAAUAUAUUUUAAAAAAAAACUGGAUUUAUCUUCUGAGUACAGGACAGGCGAACUCGGCUCCUGAAGUGUUUCAAUAAACUGGUUCCUCUAACGACUGAGCGUACCGUGGACUGAAAGUUCUAAGUUAGAAACUAAGUUCCCCUCCUUUCCAAUGCAUUUUAAAUCCAAAUAAAUUACUUGAAAUGUACAAAGUUUUCAGUUUGAACAUUUUACAUGGAACGUCUCGGUCUUUUUAUCCAAAUCAAAAACGUUCUAAAAUGGCAGCUCCGCCCAAAGAGCAACUGCAGGUGUAACAUGAGCAACUUGUGGAUUUAUCAAAGAACGAAAAAGACAUAGAAACAAAUAUUUGUGUAAAGACUUAAAACGAUGUUGUUGAUGACAUGUUCUAAAAUACUCCAUGUGUACAUUUUUAGAUUGAUGUAUGAAUCGACUUGCAUCAUCCCGUUACGAUCAAAGUUCGGUUCCACUCGCCAAAACAUCUCACGGUGAAGAGGUGCUCUGGGUGACGUCAUUCCUCCACCGAGAGGAGCAGCAAUGGCGAAGCUAACGAACGAGCUAGCUAACUGACAACCAGUAUGACCGACGUCUUGUCCUGUAGACUCUGAGGCAAACAGGUUGCGGCACCAUGGCCGCCGUCCCUGUGCGGAUGGAGAAAUGACCCCUUCUCAUCAAACUAAAACACCAAGACGGGCCGUCUUGAAAGUGUCCCAUCUUUGUGUCUUGUGUCGAAUGGUGACUGUAGAAACUUUCUUCCGGCUAUUUUUUGUUCAAGGAAGUACGUCUUCCAUCUGUGGCCAACAUGCUUCGUUCUUGUGGAAAUUCUGUUUCGUCUUCUUAACCUAAGACUCACGACCUGGAAUUAAAAGGGACUAUUUUCACAAGCAAAGAGGUGAGUAAUGUAUUCUGUCGCCAAGGCCUGUUUGCAUGCUCAGACCACGCAAGACCCAAUUGCUGACCAAAAAAAAAAAAAAAGAAUGUCAAAGCUCAUGUAAAGUUUGCUGGACAACAUUUGAACAAGCCAACAUAGCCUGGUCGGUAAGAGCAAAAUUGAACUCUGUAUAGCGUAAUACACACCACAUUUGAAGGGAAAUGACACUGCACAUCGCCCGAAAACCCAGAGCGACAGUGAAGUACAACUUAUCCCAAAAUGGUACUUGAUUAUCAUACAACACCUAUAAAAGCCCCCCGAGGUUGAGGUAAUGUAUACACCAGAGCCAGCGUGACAGUGAAGACACGAUGUGAGGCUGUUUUUCAGGAAACGGUCAUGGUCACCUUCAUAUUGUUGAAAAUUGCCAAUGAUGGCUGUUGUUGAAAGCAAUCAAUUGUUGGAGAGUUCAGUCCAUUCUCCCUGUCCUUCCACAUGAGAUAAUUAAAUACAGUCUAUAGUUUCCUGUCAGAGUCAGGGUGGAGGCACCCCUGUGCACCUUUCCUCGACUAUGUCGACUUUGCGGCACAUGGAAGAGGAGGAUGAUGCCACGGCCGCUUCCCCCGCCUUCAGUUCUUCGAACUACCUGUACAGGGCCGACGUCAGGUCCAUCUCGGGCUGAGGUACGAAAUACUGUAGCGUGCGCCCUGUUUCUGACGGUCAUGUCCACUUUGCACAACAAGCCGAGGAAGGAGGAUUCUUGUGCUGCCUCCACCCUCCCGUCAUGGGAAGGCUGUUCAACAAUGUCAGACAAAUUGUGUUUUUGACAUAUUCUGGAAAUAAAGAUGAUUCUGAAAACAUCUGUCUACUAAUUGAUAUGUCGCCAGUGCAAAAUUCUUUCCUUGCAAUGGUUAUAUAAUGCUAAGUUUGUGGUGAAACAGGUUUGAACGGUCAAGACAAAACAUGUGUAGUCAUAGCAAAAAAAAUACAAACUGCUACAAAUUUGGAAUUAUGAGGCUUCAGUUUGAUAUCAGCAAUAUCGGAUCCACUUUCCUGAUUAAAAGGUCCCAAUUCCAUCCCAACUAUGGAUAUUCAUGACUCUAAUUCAAAGUCCUACCACCAGCCAUGUUUAAAAAAUGUGUGAGUGUUUGUUUAUAUCAUGAGUUUUUCAUCUGCUUUAUGACAGAAUCCAUUUUUUUGUGCAGUAUAUGCGCAAUACUAACUCUUGGGACUUGAAAUGUCUAAAAUGUCUACAUUUUAACACUAGAUGUCACCACAGAUCCACCCAAGAUGAGAUCUGAUUUUUCGGCCUUGCAGGAGGUCAGCAGUCAGGUUCUCCGGACCAGUUACUCAUUCUCUGUCAUUGUUGAAUGAAGUGCAAUUUAGCCAUCCAUUCAUUCAUUUUCUUAGCCUCUUAUCCUCACAAGGGUCACGGAAGGGCUGCAGCCAAUCCCAGCUGUCAUCGGGCAGGAGGCGGGGUACACCCUGAAGUGGUUGACAGCCAAUUGCAGGGCACGUGAAGACAGACAACAGUCGCACUCACAAUCACACCUUGGGGCAAUUUAGAGUGUCCAAUUAAUGUUGCAUGUUUUUGGAAUGUGCACUGCAAUUCCAAGCAACAACGGUCGGCUGCGAUGACCCGCGAUGGCUCAUCUCCGCCGCGGAAGAGGAUUGGAAGGGGAUGCGGUUUAGCCGUGAUCGCAUAUCAUCUGAAUAUGGCUCGAAACAAUCGUGUAAUAUUGCCCUGAGGGCUUGAAACAAUAUUGUAAUAUUGCCCCGGUAACUUCACUCAGAUGUGUGCUGUUGUCCUUUUCGAAAAGAGCUUCCGUGUCAGAAGGGACGUGUUGGUUUCCCAUAGUUAGGGUGCACCGCGUGUUUUCAUUGGCGAAUGUCCGGGUGACGUCACGGACAGAAAAGGCAGCCAAUAUGGCGACCACUUGGAUAGCGUAGAAUGAGACUAAUGCAACUUUGCGCAUGGAUGACGCGCUCUCCGCUCACAUUUAUUUUUUCGUAUGGACAUUGAAGUGAAUAAUGUUAUAUGUAUUUUUCAUUACUAUAUCUAUUUUAGAAUGUUUAUAGGGACGACACUUGGGCUUGAAGUGAAUCGGGCUCAAAAUUUUGUAUGUAAUUUGUGUAGAACGCUCAAAAAAUUUAGGAACAAUACAGACGACAUCAACGUCAUGACAUUUUGAUGGGUGUGUCUUAUCAGUGCCGUCUUAUCAUCAGCCCUGAUUUGGUAAGUAACGUUUAUUUUUUUUAAUUGAAUUUCGAUAAACAGUCUUAAAUUUGUAACUGGGAAUGCAUUUGUACAAUGUACACAGUGAAUAUUUGUUGUAAACGAUUUACAAGUCCAAGUAAUUUUGACUUAAGAAGUUGUUGAAUGUGACGUUAAUUAAUUUUUA